AUGAUCUUAAGAUUUUUAAAUUAAGAGUGUUCUUAAGGUUCUUCUAAUUGGAUUUUGGAUGGAUUUCAAGGAUGGUGCACUAUACGCUAUGUUUCAUCUUGAGUGCACGAAGAAGUUUGAGAUCUGGAGUCUUGUAGAAGGUCAACCAGUGAGGUUUUGUGAGUAUGUGAAUAAUCUUGAGAAUCAGAGGUUGAGGUAACAUAUGAGAUGAAA
rnacentral:lncRNA from 1 species